UGAGCACUGAAGGAGAUAAUAAUCCCAGCAGAUGGCAGUAUGGCAGUCAUUUUAAUUGCAAUUUUGAAAUAUUUAUCCUUACAUCCAGUAAAAAAACAAAUAAAAAUCAACGCUUAUUCAUGAAGAGUUACUGUGACUCAGUGAGCGUGAAAUCUCAGAAAGCUGCACGAGCGAGUGCCAUUCUGUCUCAAGAGUGGAAAAAACAGCGCUGCUGCCGGUCCAUGGAACAGCGGGCUGGCCGGCCGGUGAUAUAGUGGGAUUAAAUCAGAGACGGUUCAGAAAGGACGGCCAAUUAGAGUCAUUUCCUGUAUCUGUGUCCUGUGGGUUUCGCCACUGCAGAGACUAGCAGCAGGUCCUGACUGAGUCUAUUCACUCCAAUGGGAGAAGUGAACGUGAGCACAGAUUAUGACCAAUUCUUUUGUCCCACAGGCACCGAAGUAAAUACAGGACACAUUUUUCACAAGCCAUAUGUCUUCCAAACAUUCUGACACUAAAAUGGCAUUUUUUCAGACAGACAAUUCAGGAGAAAAUUAACUGGGUUCAAGACCUGUCUCUGUCUCAGCAACACCCUGUGGCGAGAUCUGGCAACAUCUCUUCUCAAACCAGCUUGUAAUGUGUCCUCUUUGUUAUGGAUUCAAUCAUUUACAGUCCCACUCCAGCCUGUUUUAACUGACGUUUUUGGUUAACGUUCUUUCUCAAACAGAAUGCGGGUGUGGUGAAUAGUCGGAGGUAAUCCAUUAGCAUGGCAACCAGUUUGCUGUUCUAGCCUGUCAGGGAGGUCGACAUCAUUAGCAUGGAUAGCAAUAGCAUGGAUAUUAGAUUCAAUGCUAGUUUUAACACUGAAGAAGUUGUAAAUGUAUAUUCAUGUGCAUAACUUAGAAUUAUCAGCCUGUGGGUCUCCAAGAGAUCAGGAACAGACAAGGAUUAGAAAAUAUAACAAAAUAACAGAAAUUGAGUUGAGGUGUGAGGAGACCCAGUGGAGAACUGGGCGUCUCGAUGAGUGACUGCACUGAAUGUGUAACUGCAGCCAAAGUGGAGAUUACAAACUGCACCAGGCAGCAUAAUGUCGUCAUCAAAGGUCCUGGAGACAACAAGCGCUGACAGGACAAAUCUGCCAGAGCCACUCAGAGCAAGGAUGUAGGAGACUGAGACUGUGGUUUUAAAUACUGCCUCACGACAUGUGGAAGAUAUUACCUUGUGUGUAUGUGUGUCUGUGUUCUGGGCUGGCUUCCAGAUCUCCCGGCUGUGAUUGAUUACCGGCACACCUGAUCACCAUCAUCAUCAACCACCACCGUUUAUCUACCGGGCUCAUCCACACUACCAGCGCCAGAUUGUCCUCAUCUACGCUCUGCCGGUGAUCACCGCUCCCGUCUGUCCUUGGAUCUCCGAGACUUCCAUACUGCGCCAGCAACCAUAACUUCCUUGUUUCCCGACCAUCGGACUCUGGUGCCAGUUUCUACGUGCCCCCACCUGACCAGCC